rnacentral:lncRNA from 1 species
GAGCCAACUGCCAGGCUCACGGAGCGCUCCAAACACGCUCCCUGGAGAAAAUAUCUCAUCAAGCGCCAGGGGACAUAGUUUGUCUUCCUGCCAACUUCCCCACUGAGACCACUUUCAACUUUAAGCUUGUGGUCAAGGACCGUCCACAGCAGAAGCUGGGGCACCCCGCCCGUGGAAGGCCCAGGUCAGCUUCCCCCACUGAGAUUCUCCAGCCGCCGUCGAGCUGUGGAGCACCCUUCAGUCAUGGACCCGCCAGGAGGUUGAGUUUUCAAGUACUUUGUUGAAUAGGAGUGUCCCUUUUUUCAUGCCACUGACUUGAAGAAGAAACUGGGAUCCUUACUCUAUGGAGAGUCUCACAGUUUUAGUUCAUCUAAUUAGGC